rnacentral:lncRNA from 7 species
AUAAUAGAGUUUCUGUCAUCCUGGGUAAACACGCAGGCAGGUGCAUUGGUGUAUUUUCUGGGGCCUACAGAUUUUGGUGGAACGCUCUUAUUGCUUCACCUGUGCAGCUGCCACCAAAGGUGAGUACCAACUCACUCCUCUGGGCACAGUCACUUCUGCAGACCUGCAAGUUUUGACAUUCAUGGACAUGAAGGAUGGAAACAGGAUUGUAGAAUUGCUCAGACCUUGUAGAUCAUCAAGUCCAACCACAAACAUUUUUAGAGGACGAUUUGGUUUGUAUCCUAUGGUGACAUUACACUGAAUAAAGAACCUUUUGCUCAAGCAAAGUGAUUAACACCAGAUUCACCUACUAUCUACUAGCACAUCAUCUUCCCAUAACAGCUAUGCUACGGGUCAAAAAUACUGUGACAUUUGUAGCAUCAGUGUUGGUACUUUCCUUUCCAAAUAAUACCAGAAAGCAAUUAAAGGGUACGUUCUCCAAUGGGCAUGGAGAGAACAGAUUUAACAAACUAUGGUGUUUUUCAUUUGGCUAGAAUCUCAACCAAAAUCCUGAGCACCGCUGCACUGGAUGGGCUCUUGAAGCAGCAGGAGACUCCACACCAUCCCAAUACGCUCCUGGUUUCAGGAAAUUCCCUGCAAUCAGGGAGGGAUUUCACGGGGACAAAGGAACGAGUCAUGCCAGAUUCAAGCACCUAUGGCUGGAAGUCAGAAAAGGAGAUUAAAGCAGAGUAGUUGCUACACACCAGCUGCUCAGUGGUCUGCAAAGAACUGCUCCUCUGAGCAGCACGGCUACUUGCCUGUGUCCGAUGGCUUUCUGGAUCCUGGAACAUGUUGUGCUCACAGUAUGAAAAGGAAAAAAUUAUCUGUAUUAGUCAUAGGUAGCUGAGUGCCAUCUGUUACCCAGGCUGAAAGUGAACAUUCACCUCAAACUCUUUCAUGAUUACUGUUUGCCUUCUGGAGGAGGUGCUACUGGGGUAAAGACAUGCUACGGAAAUAGGGAGUUUUGUCAUCUCCUUUUGGUAAGCUCUAUUUGUUCUAAGUAUUACAGUUGCCUUUUAAUAUUUUAAUUAUGUUGACUUUGGCUUUUUAUUUGGAAAUCACUGUAUGUUUCCAAAAAAGAAACAUUAAAAAAAGCAUUUUUCUGGAAAAAAAAAAGAAAAAUCAAUGUCCAAAGCAAGAACUGCUUGAUACCUGCUUUCUUUGUUCUUAGGCUUAUGCAAGUCGUACCUAAAAGUUAUAGGCCUGCAGAAUCUGGCCAUUAUGCCCCAAAUACUCUGACUAUAGUGUAGCAAAGAGGUUUCUUUCAUUUAUCUUUUAUUGUCUGGUAUCUUCCAAAUGCCCCCAUACACCACUAAUUGUCCAUUACUAACCUUGAGAAUGCAUACUUAACACCUUCUUACAUCUGCUGCCUAGUUCAACUAUUGUCUUUUUGUGACCCAAGUGCUAGAACUUAGCCCUCAAGUGAACUUAUUAAUAGAUAAUUCAUAAAUAUGUUUAUGACAAUAAUAAAAGCAUUAUUUUUUCAUAUCUAGGCUAUGCUGUGCAGUAACAUCGGAACAAAAUGGUCAAAUUCCAAUAAUUUGUUAACAGACAACUGAAAGCAAACAAACUCAUAAACAUUAACAUUUUAAUGGCUUACAUUCUGCAAAUGAUUUCUAAACACCAUGAUGACAACUAGGUAGUGCACACAAGAGAGAUUCCUUCAGCAUCUGUGUUUUUAGCCUCAAAUAUUGCUGCAGUACAUCAACAAGUUUUCAUCAUCAAAUCUGUAAUU